GAGUUUGAUCAUGGCUCAGAUUGAACGCUGGCGGUAUGCUUAACACAUGCAAGUCGAACGGUAACAGGAGAGAGCUUGCUCUUUUGCUGACGAGUGGCGGACGGGUGAGUAAUGCGUAGGAAUCUGCCUAGUAGUGGGGGACAAUGUGUGGAAACGCACGCUAAUACCGCAUACGCCCUACGGGGGAAAGCGGGGGAUCUUCGGACCUCGCGCUAUUAGAUGAGCCUACGUUAGAUUAGCUAGUUGGUGGGGUAAAGGCCUACCAAGGCGACGAUCUAUAGCUGGUCUGAGAGGAUGAUCAGCCACACUGGGACUGAGACACGGCCCAGACUCCGUACGGGAGGCAGCAGGUGGGGAAAUAUUGGACAAGUGGGCGAAAGCCUGAUCCAGCAAUACCGCGUGUGUGAAGAAGGCCUGA
rnacentral:rRNA from 1 species